UGAGAGCUGAUAAAGUGAGAACCACACCCCA
rnacentral:piRNA from 1 species